GCUGGAGGUAUCAGAAGUGCGAAUGCUGACAUGAGUAACGAUAAAGGGGGUGAAAAACCCCCUCGCCAGAAGUCCAAGGUUUCCUACGCAACGUUAAUCGGCGUAGGGUUAGUCGGCCCCUAAGGCGAGGCAGAAAUGCGUAGUCGAUGGGAAACGGGUUAAUAUUCCCGUACUUCAUAUAACUGCGAUGGGAAGACGGAGAAGGUUAGCUCAGCAAGGCGAUGGUUGUCCUUGUUCAAGCGUGUAGAAAUGGUUCUUAGGAAAAUCCGGGAACCUCUAUUUCAAGGCGUGAUAACGAUCCCUCUUUUGGGAGAAGUGAGUGAUACCAUGCUUCCAGGAAAAUCCUCUAAGCUUCAGGUUAUAUGAAACCGUACCCCAAACCGACACAGGUGGACGAGAUGAGAAUUCUAAGGCGCUUGAGAGAACUCGGGUGAAGGAACUAGGCAAAAUGACACCGUAACUUCGGGAGAAGGUGUACUCUUGUUAUGUGAAAUCACUCGCUGAUAGAGCAGAAAAGAGUUGAAAAUACUAGGUGGCUGCGACUGUUUAUUAAAAACACAGCACUCUGCAAACACGUAAGUGGACGUAUAGGGUGUGACUCCUGCCCGGUGCUUGAAGGUUAAUUGAUGAGGUUAGCGCUUGCGCGAAGCUUUUGAUCGAAGCCCAAGUAAACGGCGGCCGUAACUAUAACGGUCCUAAGGUAGCGAAAUUCCUUGUCGGGUAAGUUCCGACCUGCACGAAUGGAGUAACGACGGCCACACUGUCUCCACCCGAGACUCAGUGAAAUUGAAAUUGCUGUUAAGAUGCAGUAUACCCGCGGCCAGACGGAAAGACCCCGUGCACCUUUACUACAGCUUUGCAUUGAACUCUGAUCCUACUUGUGUAGGAUAGGUGGGAGGCUUUGAAGCUUUAACGCUAGUUAGAGUGGAGCCACCCUUGAAAUACCACCCUGGUAUGGUUGGGGUUCUAACCUAGGUCCGUAAUCCGGAUCGGGAACAAUGCAUGGUGGGUAGUUUGACUGGGGCGGUCUCCUCCCAAAGAGUAACGGAGGAGCGCAAAGGUAUCCUCAGCACGGUCGGACAUCGUGCAAUGAGCGCAAAGGUAAAAGGAUGCUUGACUGCGAGACUGACACGUCGAGCAGGUAGGAAACUAGGUCUUAGUGAUCCGGUGGUUCUGAGUGGAAGGACCAUCGCUCAACGGAUAAAAGGUACGCCGGGGAUAACAGGCUGAUAC
rnacentral:rRNA from 1 species